UUGCUCUUCAACGAGGAAUGCCUAGUAAGCGUGAGUCAUCAGCUCGCGUUGAUUACGUCCCUGCCCUUUGUACACACCGCCCGUCGCUACUACCGAUUGAAUGGCUUAGUGAGACCUCCGGAUUGGCUUUGGGAAGCUGGCAACGGCUACCUAUUGCUGAGAAGCUGGUCAAACUUGGUCAUUUAGAGGAAGUAAAAGUCGUAACAAGGUUUCCGUAGGUGAACCUGCGGAAGGAUCAUUAGUGAAUGUUUGGAUGAGCGUUAAGCUCUCCACCCUUUUCAUAUCCAUAACACCUGUGCACUGUUGAACGAGCUCUUCGGAGCGAGUUCAACUCAAAACUUAUUAAACUACUUUUGUAUAUAAUGUCAGUAUUAUUAUAAUCUAAUAAAACUUUCAACAACGGAUCUCUUGGCUCUCGCAUCGAUGAAGAACGCAGCGAAAUGCGAUAAGUAAUGUGAAUUGCAGAAUUCAGUGAAUCAUCGAAUCUUUGAACGCAUCUUGCGCUCCUUGGUAUUCCGAGGAGCAUGCCUGUUUGAGUGUCAUGAAAUCAUCAACCACACCUUUGGUUAAUUCCGAGGGUGAUGGAUUGGAUUUGGGUGUUUGUCGACGCAAGUUGACUCGCCUUAAAAAGAUCAGUGGAUCUAUAGUCGCAAUAACUUUAAGUGGUUUGACUUGGCGUAAUAAGUAUUUCGCUAAGGACAGUCUUCGGGCUGGCCACUCAUUGUCCUUUUUGUGGCUUUAGUAUUUGCUUUCAAACCCCACCUUUUUACUUGACAUCUGGCCUCAAAUCAGGUAGGACUACCCGCUGAACUUAAGCAUAUCAAUAAGCGGAGGA
rnacentral:rRNA from 1 species